UACGGGGGGGGCAAGCGUUGUUCGGAAUUACUGGGCGUAAAGGGCUCGUAGGCGGCCAACUAAGUUAGAGGUGAAAGCCCAGGGCUCAACCCUGGAAUUGCCUUUAAGACUGCAUCGCUUGAACAUCGGAGAGGUAAGUGGAAUUCCGAGUGUAGAGGUGAAAUUCGUAGAUAUUCGGAAGAACACCAGUGGCGAAGGCGACUUACUGGACGAUUGUUGACGCUGAGGUGCGAAAGCGUGGGGAGCAAACAGG
rnacentral:rRNA from 1 species